GACGAACGCUGGCGGCGUGCCUAACACAUGCAAGUCGAACGGAGAUACGAUUUCGGUUGUAUCUUAGUGGCGAAUGGGUGAGUAACGCGUGAACAACCUGACUCUAAGAGGGGGAUAACACUCGGAAACGGGUGCUAAUACCGCAUAAGACCACGACCCGGCAUCGGGAUGAGGUCAAAGGAGCAAUCCGCUGAGAGGGGGGUUCGCGUCCCAUUAGAUAGAUGGCGGGGUAACGGCCCACCAUGUCAACGAUGGGUAGCCGAGCUGAGAGGCUGAUCGGCCACACUGGAACUGAGACACGGUCCAGACUCCUACGGGAGGCAGCAGUGGGGAAUAUUGGGCAAUGGGCGCAAGCCUGACCCAGCAACGCCGCGUGAGGGAAGAAGGCUUUCGGGUUGUAAACCUCUGUCCUUGGUGACGAAACAAAUGACGGUAGCCAAGGAGGAAGCCCCGGCUAACUACGUGCCAGCCGCCGCGGUAA
rnacentral:rRNA from 1 species